AUGAGACUCAAGCGUAAUCUUCCUUCAUUGUCGUUUUUGCAGUGCAGUUGUGCGUUCCUCCCUCAUCUAUCUCUAUCUCUGCACUUCGUUCUUCCUCUGCUCCAUCGUUUCAUUAUUUUAAUGUUGGUUAUUUUGUUCUUCUCUGUUUUUUCUUCUGUUUCUUUCUUUUUCUGCUUUCUUCCUCUUAUUUUGUUUUUUCUGUUUUGGCCUUUUAUGGUUUUUUAUCCCUCUGUUCUACUGUUUCAUCUGUGUUUUAAUUUUAAUUCCGUUGUUCCUCUUUUUUUUCUUCCUCUGUAUUAA